rnacentral:rRNA from 1 species
CAGGGAAGAAAAGGGCGGGGUUAAUACCCCUGUCUGAUGACGGUACCUGAAGAAUAAGCACCGGCUAACUACGUGCCAGCAGCCGCGGUAAUACGUAGGGUGCGAGCGUUAAUCGGAAUUACUGGGCGUAAAGCGGGCGCAGACGGUUACUUAAGCAGGAUGUGAAAUCCCCGGGCUCAACCUGGGAACUGCGUUCUGAACUGGGUGACUAGAGUGUGUCAGAGGGAGGUAGAAUUCCACGUGUAGCAGUGAAAUGCGUAGAGAUGUGGAGGAAUACCGAUGGCGAAGGCAGCCUCCUGGGAUAACACUGACGUUCAUGCCCGAAAGCGUGGGUAGCAAACAGGAUUAGAUACCCUGGUAGUCCACGCCCUAAACGAUGUCGAUUAGCUGUUGGGCAGCAUGACUGCUUAGUAGCGAAGCUAACGCGUGAAAUCGACCGCCUGGGGAGUACGGUCGCAAGAUUAAAACUCAAAGGAAUUGACGGGGACCCGCACAAGCGGUGGAUGAUGUGGAUUAAUUCGAUGCAACGCGAAGAACCUUACCUGGUCUUGACAUGUACGGAACCCUCCAGAGACGGAGGGGUGCCUUCGGGAGCCGUAACACAGGUGCUGCAUGGCUGUCGUCAGCUCGUGUCGUGAGAUGUUGGGUUAAGUCCCGCAACGAGCGCAACCCUUGUCAUUAGUUGCCAUCAUUAAGUUGGGCACUCUAAUGAGACUGCCGGUGACAAGCCGGAGGAAGGUGGGGAUGACGUCAAGUCCUCAUGGCCCUUAUGACCAGGGCUUCACACGUCAUACAAUGGUCGGUACAGAGGGUAGCCAAGCCGCGAGGUGGAGCCAAUCUCACAAAACCGAUCGUAGUCCGGAUUGCACUCUGCAACUCGAGUGCAUGAAGUCGGAAUCGCUAGUAAUCGCAGGUCAGCAUACUGCGGUGAAUACGUUCCCGGGUCUUGUACACACCGCCCGUCACACCAUGGGAGUGGGGGAUACCAGAAGUAGGUAGGGUAACCGCAAGGAGCCCGCUUACCACGGUAUGCUUCAUGACUGGGGUGAAGUCGUAACAAGGUAGCCGUAGGGGAACCUGCGGCUG